rnacentral:rRNA from 1 species
GAUGAACGCUGGCGGCGUGCCUAAUACAUGCAAGUCGAGCGAACGGACGAGAAGCUUGCUUCUCUGAUGUUAGCGGCGGACGGGUGAGUAACACGUGGAUAACCUACCUAUAAGACUGGGAUAACUUCGGGAAACCGGAGCUAAUACCGGAUAAUAUUUUGAACCGCAUGGUUCAAAAGUGAAAGACGGUCUUGCUGUCACUUAUAGAUGGAUCCGCGCUGCAUUAGCUAGUUGGUAAGGUAACGGCUUACCAAGGCAACGAUGCAUAGCCGACCUGAGAGGGUGAUCGGCCACACUGGAACUGAGACACGGUCCAGACUCCUACGGGAGGCAGCAGUAGGGAAUCUUCCGCAAUGGGCGAAAGCCUGACGCAGCAAAGCCGCGUGAGUGAUGAAGGUCUUCGGAUCGUAAAACUCUGUUAUUAGGGAAGACCAUAUGUGUAAGUAACUGUGCACAUCUUGACGGUACCUAAUCAGAGAGCCACGGCUAACUACGUG